GACGAAGGGGGCUAGCGUUGUUCGGAAUUACUGGGCGUAAAGCGCGUGUAGGCGGUUGUCCAAGUUGGAUGUGAAAGCCUUGAGCUCAACUCAAGAAUUGCAUUCAGGACUGGAUGACUAGAGGACCGGAGAGGAUAGUGGAAUUCCCAGUGUAGUGGUGAAAUACGUAGAGAUUGGGAAGAACACCAGUGGCGAAGGCGGCUAUCUGGACGGUUUCUGACGCUAAGACGCGAAAGCGUGGGGAGCAAACAGG
rnacentral:rRNA from 1 species